rnacentral:tRNA from 1 species
GGGUGCAUAGCUCAGUUGGUAGAGCAACUGACUCUUAAUCAGUGGGUCUGGGGUUCGAGUCCCCAUGCGCCCACCA